GACGAACGCUGGCGGCGUGCUUAACACAUGCAAGUCGUACGGUAAGGCCCUUCUGUUGUGGCGUGCUCGAGUAGCGAACGGGUGAGUAACACGUAAGUAACCUGCCCUUUACUUUGGGCUCACUUCAGGAAACUGGGGCUAAUACCGUGUAGGCGCUCCUGCUGCAUGGUGUUGGUAGGAAACGUUCGGCGGUGGGGGAUGGACUCCCGGCUUAUCAGCUGGUUGGUGGGGUAUUGGCUUACCAAGGCUUUGACGGGUAGCCGGCCUGGGUGGGUGACCGGCAACAUGGGGACUGAGAAACGGCCCAGCCUCCUCCGGGAGGAAGAAGGGGGAAUAAUGGCACAAUGGCGCGAAGCCGGUGGAAGCACGCCGGGGUGCGGGAUAACGGCCUUCGGGUGGAAACCCGCUUCAGCAGGGGAGGAAGCGUGAGUGACGGUAAUGGGUAAAGAAGCACCGGCUAACUACGUG
rnacentral:rRNA from 1 species